CCAUUACAAUUUAUUUAUUGUCAUUACGCCAUUACUACAAUUUUACAAUUACUUGAUUUCAUUACAAAUUUGCCUUAUCAAUUUUCUGAUAAAUAAAUUCCCAUUACGGUAUUCAAAUUCUCUCAAGAGUUUUUAAUUAUUUGUGGUUGGUGGUACAUUCACCCAUGUUGGCAGAAUAUGUUUCGACAAUCUACAUUUGACACCACACACUACACUGUUGACAGAUGACCAGAUGACAGCAUUGACAACAUUGACAGCCCGAGCUUAAGCUUAGUAGGUCACAUCCACAGGCACCACAGGCCAUAAGUUGUUAGUUUGUUAGUUGUGUCCUCAGAGCCAUGUGACUCCUGUACCUUGAUCUCAUGUUUGAUUUGAAUUAAAAUAUAUUGCAGUUUUUGACGGUUACCGGUUAGGCUAGAAUGAACAGUGAAGUGGUGAAUCUUAUGGUUUGAAAAUGGACAAAUUUGUAAUUCGUGACUUAUCUCGGAAUGCUGUGCCCGCCACAAUUUCAGCACCCGUUCCUAGUGUUGCCACUGUUGCUACUACUUCAGGUUCAGAACCAGAGGAAGAAACUUACAACGACAGCCAUGAAGAUGUUCUAUUGAAACGAAAGAAGCGUAUACGAAAUGUUUUUAAACAGAAAUUUAAAAAAUCAUGGAUAACCAAAACCAAAAAAAAAAAUGGUUGACAGAAAUACCUGCCACAGGGCAAGCACAGUGUAAUGUUUGCAAUAAAACUUUGGUUGGAGGGAUUACUCACAUAAAUAGACAUGGCAAUAGUACAAGUCACAUUAAAAGAAUAAAAUGUUUAGGAGCAACUCCACAAAUCGCUACCUUGAAGACAGAAACAACAGAAAAGAAACGAUUAAAAGAUGGCGUUAAGCAAGCUGAAAUUAAGAUGAUCAUGUUUCUAGCAGAACAUAACCUUCCAUUUCGUUUACUUGAACAUUUACCUAAAUUUCUAGCCUCAGUGUGUUAUGAUUCAGAAAUUGCUAAACAUUUACAGUGUAGCCGUAAAAAAGGUACAAAAAUAUGCACUGAAAUAACUGGUCCAGCACAUUUACGUCAGGUAUCAGAAGAAUUAAAAAGCAAUUGGUUUUCUUUAAUAUUGGAUGAAACCACAGACAUUUCCACCCAAAAAUGUUUAACAGUUUUAGCUCGAUACUACAGUGGAGAUGUCAUAAAAGAUGAAUAUUUAGGGCUAAUUCCGGUCGAAAAUGGUACAGCUGAAUCAUUAUAUACUGCAACGAAAGGACUAUUAGAACAAAAUAAUAUACCACUUACAAAAAUGAUCGCAUUUGCAGCAGACAAUGCUUCGAUAUGUUUGCUCUGGGAUGUGUGUGCCAUUCUCUAACUCUUUGUUCUGGAUCAGCUUGUAAGAAGUUACCUACAUCAGUAGAAAAAUUAGCUAGAGAUAUUGUUUCUUAUUUUGCACACAGCUCGAAACGACAACAUGAAUUAAAGGAAUAUCAGUGUUUUGUUGAUGUGAGCCAACAUAAACUGUUAAAAUUAAGUAAUACUAGGUGGCUUUCACUACAAGCUGUUGUAGACCGUAUUAUUGAACAGUGGCAGUCUUUGACGAUGUUUUUUACAAAUGAGGUUUAUGAUAAAAGUUGUCUUGUUAAUCCUGAGCAGAUACUUUCUGCUUUACAAAAUCCUGUAUUCAAAUUAGACUUUACAUUUCUAUCAUAUAUUCUUGAUGUAGUGAAUACCAUGAAUUUACAAUUUCAAGGUGAAUCGCCAAAGCUACAUUUAUUACAUAGUAGGAUCACUGGUCUAUUUAAAUUAAUACUGAAAAAUUUUAUGAAACCCCAAUAUUUAAGUAAUCUGACUAUGUAUAAUAAAAUACAGUUCCUUCCUCAUAACUACAAAACAUUGGAUAAUAUUUAUUGCGGAGCAAAUUGUGAAUUAAUUAUUAAUAGUACACCCAUCAACAAGACUGAAAUAGGUAGCUUUAAAAUAAAAUGUUUAGACUUCUAUGUUGAAUUAGGUAAACAAAUAUUAUCAAGAUUUAAUUUUGAUGACAAUGUAUUGAAAUUUAUGCAAAACUUUGACCCUGCUGUGGCUGUGUCUGGUGUAUGCGAGUCCCUAGUUCCUCUUGCUAGUAGAUUUCCUAGAUUAGUCACUAAUUUAGAGAAACUCAAUUCAGAAUGGAGACUCUUAUCUGAUAUGUCUGAAAUUAAAAUAAACAGUUCCAAGUCUCUAAUAGACUUUUGGAAUUACGUUUUCAACAUAAAAAACGGACUGAAUGAAUAUAUGUUCCCUCAUUUGACAAAUUUUGUUAAAGGGUUGUUGUGUUUACCACAAUCCUCCGCUGCGGCAGAGAGAAUAUUCUCUCAAUUAUCUUUAAUAAAAACCAAAAAUAGAAAUAAACUUAAUAUUUUUACUUGUAAUUAUUUACUACAUACAAAAUAUCUUUUGAAAGACAAAAGCUGUUUUAAUUUUGAACCUUCAAAAUCGCUGAUGUCAAGAAAUUUAGCCUUAGAUUAGCCAAAUGGUUUGUGAUUCUGAUGAAAUUACAUUUUAACAAUGUUAACUGUUGAAUUCUUUAAAAUGGAGUUACAGUCGAUGAAACGGUUCUCAUACGAAUUAACUUGCUUAAAGUUGUUUAAAAAGUAGCGUCUUACGCUGUAACUCCGGCUUUAAUUAUAUUAAAAUAGUAGAAGUAUAUUAAAUAAUCAAAAUUCCUUCUAUCAAGCAGCUUUAUGUAAGGUGAUGAGAUUGGGUAACAUAAUUAUGUGCAAUUUUGUAGAUUGCUUGGUGGAAAGUCUUUUGAUCGAUCGUUUUUUUUUUCUUUUUUGUUAUGUUUUGUUAAAAAUAGGAUUACCUAUGUUUUGUUUUGUUAAAAAUAGGAUUGCCUGUUUUGUUUUGUUAAAAAUAAGA